GGUUUAAUUCGAUGAUACGCGAGGAACCUUACCCGGGCUUGAACUGUAGGCGAACGAUUCAGAGAUGAUGAGGCCCUUCGGGGCGCCUAUGGAGGUGCUGCAUGGUUGUCGUCAGCUCGUGCCGUGAGGUGUCGGCUUAAGUGCCAUAACGAGCGCAACCCUUGUUCGUAGUUGCCAUCGGGUGAUGCCGGGCACUCUGCGAAGACUGCCUCCGUAAGGAGUGA
rnacentral:rRNA from 1 species